rnacentral:rRNA from 1 species
AUUGAACGCUGGCGGCAGGCCUAACACAUGCAAGUCGAACGAGUGGCGGACGGGUGAGUAAUGUCUGGGAAACUGCCUGAUGGAGGGGGAUAACUACUGUAAACGGUAGCUAAUACCGCAUACCAUCCGAUGUUCCCCGAUGGGAUUAGCUAGUUGGUGGGGUAACGGCUCCACAAGGCGACGAUCCCUAGCUGGUCUGAGGAGAAGACCAGGCACACGUGAACUGGGACACGGGCCAAAAUUCUACGGGGGGCAGGCGGGGGGAAUAUUGGACAAUGGGGGCAAGGCUGAAGCAGGCAUGCCGGGGGGUUUAAAGAGGCCUUUGGGGUGUAAAAGAAUUUUAGGGGGGGAGCGUUACCCGCAGAAGAAGCACCGGCUAACUCCGGGCCAGCAGCCGCGGUAAUAC